rnacentral:rRNA from 1 species
GACGAACCGUGCGAACGUUGUUCGGAAUCACUGGGCUUAAAGGGCGCGUAGGCGGGUUCCUAAGUCUGGAGUGAAAGCCCGCGGCUCAACCGCGGAAGCGCUUCGGAUACUGGGGGCCUCGAGGGAGGUAGGGGCGUGCGGAACUUCCGGUGGAGCGGUGAAAUGCGUAGAUAUCGGAAGGAACACCGGUGGCGAAAGCGGCGCGCUGGACCUCUUCUGACGCUGAGGCGCGAAAGCCAGGGGAGCAAACGGG